GAUGAACGCUGGCGGCGUGCUUAACACAUGCAAGUCGAACGGAACUGUAUCGAUGAGCGUCUUCGGAAAGGAAUUGAUGCAGUUUAGUGGCGGACGGGUGAGUAACGCGUGGGUAACCUGCCCUGUACAGGGGGAUAACAGCUGGAAACGGCUGUUAAUACCGCAUAAGCGCACGGGAUCGCAUGAUUCUGUGUGAAAAACUCCGGUGGUACAGGAUGGACCCGCGUCUGAUUAGCUGGUUGGCAGGGUAACGGCCUACCAAGGCGACGAUCAGUAGCCGGCCUGAGAGGGUGAACGGCCACAUUGGGACUGAGACACGGCCCAA
rnacentral:rRNA from 1 species